GACGAACGCUGGCGGCGUGCUUAACACAUGCAAGUCGAACGAAGUGGAGCACGGGUGAGUAACGCGGAAUCAACCUGCCCUUCAGCGGGGGAUAACCGUCGGAAACGACUGCUAAUACCGCAUAAUGUAGGUGGGGAUUGCGUCUGAUUGGCUAGUGGGUAAGGUACUGGCUUACCUAGGCGACGAUCCCUAGCGGGUCUGAGGGGAUGAUCGGCCACACUGGGACUGAGACACGGCCCAGACUCCUACGGGAGGCAGCAGUUGGGAAUAUUGCACAGUGGGCGCAAGCCUGAGGCAGCCAUGCCGCGUGUGUGAAGAAGGCCCUAGGGUUGUAAAGUGCUUUCAGUCGGGAGCGUUACCGACAGAAGAAGCACCGGCUAACUCCGUGCCAGCAGCCGCGGUAAUAC
rnacentral:rRNA from 1 species